AUGAAGAUACCUCUUAAGAAUAAAAUCUUUGCAUGGUAUCUUCGUCGCGGAGUCAUUCUUACUAAAGAUAACCUUAUUAAGAGGAAUUGGCAUGGAAGCCCGUAAUGUGUCUUUUGUCACCAUGAGGAGAAAAUAAAACAUUUAUUCUUCCAAUGCAAAUUGGCAUGUUCUAUAUGGUCAGUCAUUCAAAUAGCUUCUGGCUUGUAUCCUACGUAUAGUGUUGCUAAUGUAUUUGGCAACUGGUUACAUGGUAUUGAUCACAGGUUUAGAACUCUUCUCAGGGUGGGGGCGCUUAUCGUUAUUUGGUCACUUUGGCUAUGUAGAAAUGAUAAGGUUUUUAACGAUAAAACUACUUCUCUGUUGCAGGUUAUCUACAAAUGUACCGGGACUCUUAAUUUAUGGUCCUCUCUACAAUGCGUGGAGAAUCAAGACUUGUUUGCGAAGGUGUGUACACGAUUUGAGGCUACGGCGUGGGAUACUUUUACCCAACAUGGGUGGCAACAUGAUCUAAGGAUUGCCCCCCCCCCUCCACUUUAG
rnacentral:rRNA from 1 species